ACUCAAAUGAAUUGACGGGGACCCGCACAAGCAGUGGAUCAUGUGGUUUAAUUCGACACUAAACGAGAAACCUCACCUAGGCUUGACAUUGAUAGAAAGAGACAGAAAUGUUUUUGUGCCCGCAAGGGAACUUGAAAACAGGUGCUGCAUGGUUGUCGUCAGCUCGUGCCUUGAGGUGUUCGGUUAAGUCCGUUAACGAGCGCAACCCAUGUCGUUAGUUAUUAUGUCUAACGAGACUGCCUGAGUUAAUCAGGAGGAAGGUGUGGAUGACGUCAAAUCAGCAUGGCCCUUAUGCCUAGGGCUACACACAUGAUACAAUGGUCGGUACAAAGGGUUGCAAUAUGGUAACAUGGAGCCAAUCCCAGAAAGCCGAUCUCAGUCCAGAUUGAGGGCUGCAACUCGCCCUCAUGAAGUUGGAAUUGCUAGUAAUCGUGAAUCAGCUAUGUCACGGUGAAUCUGUUCCCGGGUCUUGUACACACCGCCCGU
rnacentral:rRNA from 1 species